GGGAACUCCUUUAGGUCAGGGAUCAUGGUUUUAGCUCCGAGUCGCAAUGCUCUGUGCAGUGACUGGUACAUGACAGGUGCCAAAUUCAUGUACGCUGAGUUGAACUAUAGACCUUUCUACAGCGUCUCUGCUUCCAAGUAUAGGCUUCAGCUGGGCAGAGGGGCUGUGGGUCCUACCUGGGUGUCAUUCUUCAGUGCACCGAGGAUUCCUGACCGCAGCGUCUGGCUAAGGGGCUGAGACAGGAGCAGGACAGUGAAGAUGGCUGCGAAAGCAGGGGAUUUCUGCUCCAAGUGCUCCCCGUCCUCCAUCGAGUGAUGCAGGUUUCGCACAGAUCCUUUCUACUCUGCUCUCAAGGGAUGCGGAAGAUUCGGAUGUCAGCUUUCCUCCUGAAGGGUUUCAGAAUCAGACUGAUUGCUCUGUCUCGGCCAGUACCUUCCAGAUUCUCUCAGAGGGACCUCCUGAUGGUGUUCAGAUGGAAGGUGUCAGUGUUUCACAGCAAACGCAAUAACGAGGCCCCAUGCUUCCCAAGAACCAUUAAAUUCAAUUGGAUUUCAGCAACUGGUGAGGUUACCUCAGCAAAGGCCUGUUUACAUGCGGCUUGAAACGGGUUCCCCUCUGAGCAGCUCAGCACAUUGUCAAACCAGUCUUGACUUGAAAGACAUAUGGCAUCAGCAUGGAAGAUGUCAUCUACGUAUUUGUGUGCGUGCGUGUGCUUACUCAUCAUUGUUGGCUGAAUUAGAGGAAAGUAGACAAGCUGAUUCUUCAUGCUAUAAGGAGUUGGUGCAGAGGAUGAGGCGACAAGGUCAUAGGAAGGUCGGAAAGAACAAAGAGCGGAAGACCUCAGAA